rnacentral:misc_RNA from 1 species
GAUGAAGAACGCAGCGAAACGCGAUAUGUAAUGUGAAUUGCAGAAUUCAGUGAAUCAUCGAAUCUUUGAACGCACAUGGCGCCUUCCAGUAUCCUGGGAGGCAUGCCUGUCCGAGCGUCGUUUCAACCCUCGAGCCCCCGUGGCCCGGCGUUGGGGAUCUGCCACGGCAGGCCCCUAAAACCAGUGGCGGACCCGAAGGCCCUCUCCUUUGCGCAGUAGCAUCAGCCUCGCAUUGGGAUCCCUCGGCGUCCUGCCUCUAAACCCCCCACAAGUCCGCUCCGGCGGCACCAAGGUUGACCUCGGAUCAGGUAGGAAUACCCGCUGAACUUAAGCAUAUAAUAAGCGGAGGA